AGUCCUGAAUUUUAUUAUAAAGGACUGCCAACCCCUGAGCAUUGUGGAGAGUGAGGGGUUCUGGGGGUUGAUUCAGGUCCUUGAUCCAUCUUACGUUUUGCCAACCAGAAAGACGGUUAAGGAAAUGAAGGCCAAAAAGCAUGCGGAGGAACUCGAACGAGUAAAAAGGGAAGUACAGCAAGCUGUGGCAAUAAUCUGUGGCAGCAGCUUGAUCAAGAGGUUGGCAGACAAACCACCAAUGCAACAGCUGACUCGAUCAUUGAGGUCCAGCACUACCUAGCAGAGGGAAACAUUUCAAGACAAGAAGUUCCAUUAACAU